CCUACGGGAGGCAGCAGUGGGGGAUAUUGCACAAUGGGGGAAACCCUGAUGCAGCGACGCCGCGUGUGGGAAGACGGUCCUCUGGAUUGUAAACCACUGUCCCCAGGGACGAAGAUGACGGUACCUGGGGAGGAAGCUCCGGCUAACUACGUGCCAGCAGCCGCGGUAAUCCGUAGGGAGCGAGCGUUGUCCGGAAUUACUGGGUGUAAAGGGAGCGUAGGCGGGACUGCAAGCUGGGUGUAAAAUCUACCGGCUCAACCGGUAGCCGCACUCAAAACUGCAGUUCUUGAGUGAAGGAGAGGCAGGCGGAAUUCCUAGUGUAGCGGUGAAAUGCGUAGAUAUUAGGAGGAACACCAGUGGCGAAGGCGGCCUGCUGGGCUUUUACUGACGCUGAGGCUCGAAAGUGUGGGGAGCAAACAGGAUUAGAUACCCGAGUAGUC
rnacentral:rRNA from 1 species